rnacentral:rRNA from 1 species
CAAACGGGGGCGGGCGGUGCCUAUACAUGCAAGUCGAGCGGACAGAUGGGAGCUUGCUCCCUGAUGUUAGCGGCGGACGGGUGAGUAACACGUGGGUAACCUGCCUGUAAGACUGGGAUAACUCCGGGAAACCGGGGCUAAUACCGGAUGGUUGUUUGAACCGCAUGGUUCAAACAUAAAAGGUGGCUUCGGCUACCACUUACAGAUGGACCCGCGGCGCAUUAGCUAGUUGGUGAGGUAACGGCUCACCAAGGCAACGAUGCGUAGCCGACCUGAGAGGGUGAUCGGCCACACUGGGACUGAGACACGGCCCAGACUCCUACGGGAGGCAGCAGUAGGGAAUCUUCCGCAAUGGACGAAAGUCUGACGGAGCAACGCCGCGUGAGUGAUGAAGGUUUUCGGAUCGUAAAGCUCUGUUGUUAGGGAAGAACAAGUACCGUUCGAAUAGGGCGGUACCUUGACGGUACCUAACCAGAAAGCCACGGCUAACUACGUGCCAGCAGCCGCGGUAAUACGUAGGUGGCAAGCGUUGUCCGGAAUUAUUGGGCGUAAAGGGCUCGCAGGCGGUUUCUUAAGUCUGAUGUGAAAGCCCCCGGCUCAACCGGGGAGGGUCAUUGGAAACUGGGGAACUUGAGUGCAGAAGAGGAGAGUGGAAUUCCACGUGUAGCGGUGAAAUGCGUAGAGAUGUGGAGGAACACCAGUGGCGAAGGCGACUCUCUGGUCUGUAACUGACGCUGAGGAGCGAAAGCGGUGGGGAGCGAACAGGGAUUAGAUACCCUGGUAGUCCACGCCGUAAACGAUGAGUGCUAAGUGUUAGGGGGUUUCCGCCCCUUAGUGCUGCAGCUAACGCAUUAAGCACUCCGCCUGGGGAGUACGGUCGCAAGACUGAAACUCAAAGGAAUUGACGGGGGCCCGCACAACGGUGGACAUGUGGUU